rnacentral:lncRNA from 1 species
CUCCCUCCCUCAGGACCAGCCCGGAAGUCUCUCCAAGAGCCCCAAAGUCCAGGAAUCCCCACCAAAGGAUUCAGAAACAGAGCACACAGUCCGGGGCCCCUCUGAACGGUGGGUACGAGUUUAAGGAGCUGCCGGCCUAGAGUGGGGUGGGGACUGACAAAUGAGCCGGGGGCACUGGGGAGGGUAGGAGGCCGGGCCUCGGCUCUUCCCCCGUCCCUGCGGCACUGCUGCUGCAUCAUACCGACUGGGGGGAGGAGAGCCGAGCCGCCGGAGGCCGGCGCCGGUCCGGGACAGACCGACCCCUAGAGAGUGGGCAGAGUGGGACACGUCCCGACCCCUCUUCUUCCCCGCCCGCCGACAGCCCCGGCCGGCCGGGGAGAGGAGUCCGGGAGGGUGUCUCUAUUGUCCCGGGGGCUGGGGCCUGGCUCCCUAACAAAGGCCCCGCGCCCCCUCCCCGGCCGGCCCUGCCCCGCCCAGGGGGGACCCAGACAGGGGGAGAGCUGGGGGCCCCGGCCGGGCCGGGAAGCCGGGGGAAGCCGGGCGUUUCCGCGUCGGCCCGGGGGGAGGGGAAGGGGCGCUGACCCAGACCUGGGGGGAGGGGGCCCAAGCCCCGCCUCGGGCCCCGCCCCCCGCCCCCCGCAGGCCCCUCCCCCGUCCCCGUCUCCGUCCCGUACUCACCCCGCCCGGGGGGCCGCGCCGGGGCCCGGCGGCCUCUCAGGGCCGCGUCCUCCGGCGGCGGCGGCGGCGGCGGCUGCUCCGGAGCCCCAUGUCCGUCGGUCCGUCCUCGCCUCUCCCCGGGGCCCAGGGCCCGGGGCCGGGGGGUCGGGCCGCCCCCCCGCCUCGCCGCCUCACCGGGCGGCCAUGGCCCCUUCCCCUCCCUUCUCGUCCCGUCGCCGCCUCCUCCUCCUCACCUCACCCCGCCCGCGCGCAGUCCGCGCGCCGUCCGCGCGCCCCUCCCCCCGCCCCCCACUCCAGCCCGCCUCUCCCGGGCGGGGGGUGCGGCGCGAGCCCGGAGCGCGCGCGCGUGCCGCGACCGGAGGAUGGAUGGAUGGAGCGAGCGAGAACGCGAGCGUGCGCGCGCGCGCCCCUCUCCCCCUCCCUUCGCGCGGGCGCGAGGCCAAGCGCGAGCGCGCUCCAACCUCCUCCUCUUCCUCCUCCCGCCCCUCCUCAACACCCCGCCCCCGCCCUCCCUUCCUCUUCCUUCUUUCGCUUUCGCGCGCCCAGCGACUGCUCGCGCCUGCUAGAAGGGCCCGAGCGCGUGCAUCUGCCCGGCGGCCGCAGCUCGGCAGCAUUUGCUCCAGGGGGCGGGGACCGGGCGGGGAGGAGGGGCGCCACGCCGCCGUCCAAAGUACCGGCGGACGGGGACGGGGGCGGGGAUAUGGGCGGGGCCUUCGGGAGCCACCUCGCCCAAUCGCUGUCUCGCCUCGGCCCGGCCGGCCCAAUAGGAUUUCGGUGGGUGGAGCGGCGUUCAAGCCUGCCAGGCGGUGGCCAGACCCUUCCUCCGACCCAGUUCUUCUCCCCUGUGUGUACCCAUAUCCGCGCGCUCUCACAGUCCUUUUCUGGAGCAAAGGGCCUUUCCCAGCCGCCGUAA